UACGGAGGAUCCGAGCGUUAUCAGGAUUUAUUGGGUUUAAAGGGUGCGCAGGCGGAAGAUUAAGUCGGUGGUGAAAUUUUGCAGCUCAACUGUAAAAGUGCCAUUGAUACUGGUUUUCUUGAGUGUGGAUGAAGUAGGCGGAAUUUGUGGUGUAGCGGUGAAAUGCAUAGAUAUCACGAGGAACUCCGAUUGCGCAGGCAGCUUACUAAACCAUAACUGACGCUCAGGCACGAAGGCGUGGGGAUCAAACAGGAUUAGA
rnacentral:rRNA from 1 species